rnacentral:rRNA from 1 species
CCUACAGGAGACAGCAGUGAGGAAUAUUGGUCAAUGGGCGCGAGCCUGAACCAGCCAAGUAGCGUGAAGGAUGACUGCCCUACGGGUUGUAAACUUCUUUUAUAAAGGAAUAAAGUGAGGCACGUGUGCCUUUUUGUAUGUACUUUAUGAAUAAGGAUCGGCUAACUCCGUGCCAGCAGCCGCGGUAAUACGGAGGAUCCGAGCGUUAUCCGGAUUUAUUGGGUUUAAAGGGUGCGUAGAUGGGUUGUUAAGUCCGUUGUGAAAGUUUGCGGCUCAACCGUAAAAUUGCAAUUGAUACUGGCAGCCUUGAGUAGAGUUGAGGUAGGCGGAAUUCGUGGUGUAGCGGUGAAAUGCUGAGAUAUCACGAAGAACUCCGAUUGCGAAGGCAGCUUACUAAACUGCCACUGACAUUGAGGCUCGAAAGUGUGGGUAUCAAACAGGAUUAGAUACCCGAGUAGUC